CGGCCUGAUUAGAUCUCUCUCUCUCUCUCUCUCUGAUGUGUACGUUUGAAAAUUAGGGUCCCUUCCCCCUAUCGUGUAUCCGUUAGGCCACCGAAGCCACUAAAUGAGUUUAUCUAAUUAAAAGAAACAGUUUAAAGAAAUUUCGGAUACAUAUAAAACUGAUUAAUAUGCAUGUGAAUGUCAAUUGUCCUGUGACUAUACCAUGUAUACAUGAUACGUUU
rnacentral:lncRNA from 1 species